UGAUUAGCCAACCCAUGUGCAUCUAUGGAUAAGUUCUUAACCAAUUAUUUCUCUAAAUAAUUUCUACUAAAUAAUUUUACCCCAGGUACCUUUUCAGUAAGCUUUGGCCUCCAUUGAAAGAUCUGAUUAAGUCCAACCAUUAACCUAACCAUACUUAGUGUAUCUAACUAACAAAUGAUUAGGUCCGACUUUGGUCGGCCAACCUAACCAU
rnacentral:lncRNA from 1 species